GAACUCUAGCCAUCAACGAAUCCUUCGGAUCCCCUGGUGUGGCAUAAAAUCUACGGAUCAAUGUCUUUUACCCCUAGGUCUCGUUGAUAAGAGUAAAGUCCGGAUGCGGACACGACUUCUGUGUAUCAGUUGGAUGUUCGGUCAACCCGAUUCUCGGGACACAUCUCCAUUAUCAUUCACGAUUUCUGCUGGCUUACAGAGAACUCUCACCAUCCACGGUUUUCACUGGCUCAUAGAGCGAACUCUCACCAUCCACAGUCCCCGCUGACUUACAAAGUAAACUCUCACCAUCCAAGGGGAAUCAUUGCCUAGUGGGAGGGGAUUCUCGUUAGAGUGACAAACUCCACCUUUGAGGGAGAGAGGUUGUAACUUCACCUGGAAAUGAAGUUGGUAAAGGAAAUCCUCGCAACGUGUUGCUGAAGGCAAGGAUGUAGGCUGUGGCCGAACCUUGUAAAAACAACGGUGACCCAGGUAGACAAGCAUAUCAGGCUCGGAGAUAAAUGAGACGUUUGUAUUGCCCUGUCUGUAAGAGCAACUAUUGGAAGUUAAAAACCGACAGUACUUCAUAAUUUGUGUGUAACUCUCUCAUAUGAACUCUGAUUCAUAUGAUUCAAGAUGAUGUAGAAAUAUAAGAAAAUGCUCUACAAUUUUUGUGUUUCUAUUUUUGAGAGAUACUAGAUACAUCAAGAUCGAAAUCAGACAUGAAGUUACCAUACGCUAUUUUUAUGAACUAUUUCGGUAUUGUUUCGUAA